rnacentral:piRNA from 1 species
UCCAGGUCUUGUCGUCGCUAGGUUGGU